rnacentral:rRNA from 1 species
UACGUAGGGCGCAAGCGUUGUCCGGAAUUAUUGGGCGUAAAGAGCUCGUAGGCGGUCUGUUACGUCCGCUGUGAAAACCCAGGGCUUAACCCUGGGCUUGCAGUGGAUACGGGUAGACUAGAGGCAGGUAGGGGAGAAUGGAAUUCCUGGUGUAGCGGUGAAAUGCGCAGAUAUCGGGAGGAACACCGGUGGCGAAGGCGGCCUUCUGGACAGUGACUGACGCUGAGACGCGAAAGCGUGGGGAGCAAACAGG